ensembl:lncRNA
ACACCACACAGCCCUGCUGUCCCGUUUCUCUGGGACUGGAUCCUGCCUGGCCCACUGAGUCCCUGCCCCAGUGCUGCAGCUCUGAGCCUGGCGGGAUCCCUCCUCUCCCAUGAGGCCUCGCGCCCAACGGAAAUGCUCAACAGAAAUCCUCGUCCAGUCCACUGCCUCUCCUCCCCUCAGACUCUUCCGGAGGGGUGCCAUUGGCUGCACCCUCUGCCUGUCUCCAGGGUCUCCAUGAAUCACCAGUCUCAGAAAAGCAGUCAAGCCCUUUGAAGAGAAGACACCUGCCCACACGUGCUACCUCCACCUCCCCACUUUGGAGUCACCUUGCACUCCUACUAUUUGAUGAGGGGAAGAGGCAUCAGAGAUCUCUUUUUCUACCUGUGCACAGAGAAGAGGCCAUGAGAACACACAGCAAGAAGGCAACCAUCUGCAAGCCAGGAAGAGAGCCUUCACCAGAAUCCAACCCUUACAGGACCUUGAUUCUGGACCUCCAGCCUUCAGAACUGUUGUUUAAGCCACUAGUCUGUGAUAUUUUGUUCUGGCAGCCCGAACAACCUAAUACACAGUCUUAAGAGGUAGAUAUCAUCCCCAUUUAUAUUUGAAGAAACUGAGGCUCAGAGGGUUUGACAGGUAGCAAGCCACUCUAAGCACGUCUUGGAUGUAGUGCCAUACCCUGUAAUGCACCAUCCAAUGAGACCAGGACCCAACUGGGCCUUCACUUGACCAAAGGAUGAUAUAUAGGCCUAUCAUUGAUAUGUUAGUGUGAGCAACAAAUGCCAGAACCAAAUGAUACCAGUUGCAAACAGUAGAUCAUAGCCAGGAGAGACCAUUUCAUGUCAUGACAUCACCGUCUUGUUUGAGUGAAUGCUGCAGCUACCAUUGUGGGACAUUGUUAGGGACCGUGCCUGGCAUGUGGGAAACUACAACUAUUGCCCCAGUCAAGGAACUUAAUUCAUCCUCCUCAAUGUGCAGGAUUGGCUGCGUCUCUGGACACAGUCUGGACUUUCUACCAUUGUACCAUCUAUAAGAGGCAGUGGGGCAAAUAAAAGAUAGAAAUUAAAGAGAAGGCCAAAGUAUCACUUGACAUUAGCAUAAAAUAAGUCAAAUCAAUAAAAAGGCAAGUCAUUUAAAAAUAGGCAAGUUACCUGAAUCUAUACUUUAUUCCUUUGAGACAAGCACUUUAUAAAAUAUUACAUUGCUCAGUUAUCAAAAUGGCUAUAUGAACCUGGUAUUGUUGUCAUCCCAUUUUUCCAGAGAAAACUGAAGUAAAGGGAAAUAAGUCCCUGAGUGCAUGUGGCCAACAAGAGAACCAGGAUCUAGAAAUGAAGGACACAGAAGUGCAGAGCUCAUGCUUCUAACCUUUAAGGACUAUGAAGUAGCAGAGAGGGAUUGGGAUGAGGUAGUCACAGGAGUGGCUGAAGGAAGAUAAAAGACGGAAAAAUUUCUCCUCUAAAGGAGUAGAACAGUGUUGCUUAGAUCUUAGCCCUGACUACACUUCUCUCGUAACUCUGCACUCAACCUUCCUGCUUAGUUUCACCUCUUAUCUUGCCCUCAGACUGCUCCGUUACCAACUGAGUUGACAAAUUCAUGUCCACUCAGAACCUCAAAUGUGACCUAGUUUGCAAACAGGGUCUUUGUAGAUGUAACCAAACUAAGGGAAGUUUAUAGUGGAUUAGAGUGGGCCCUCCCAAAUCCAAUGUUUGCUGUUCUUAAGAAAACACACACACACACACACACACACACACACACACAUGCACACACACACGGAAAAAUGUGUCAUGUAAAAGUGGAGGCAGAGAUUGGAGUGAUGUAUCUACAAGGUAAGGGACACCAAGGGUUGCCAAGAACCACCAGGAUCCAGGAGACAGCUAUGGAACAGAAUCUCCCUCAAAGCCUCCAGUAGAAACUAAUCCUGCUAACAUCUGGAGUUUGUACUUCCAGCCUUCACAGC